rnacentral:rRNA from 1 species
GGCGUCAAUGCACACGCCAUCAUUUCGGCAGUCUGCGCUAUAUGCUCGAAAGGGUUGUAUACGUGACUGUCAAGUUUACCUUAAAUAAAUUAAAAUGCUCAAAAUAAGCGUAUGCUUGAAUAUCAUAUUAUGGAAUAAUGAAAUAGGACUUCGGUUCUUUUUGUUGGUUAUUGAAUCGGAGUAAUGAUUAAUAGGGAUAAUCUCGGGGGCAUUCAUAUUUCUGCGGGAGAGGUGAAAUUCUAUGAUCGCAGAAGGACGCCCUAAAGCGAAAGCAUUUGCCAAGAAUGUCUUCGUUAAUCAAGAACGAAAGUCAGAGGAUCGAAGGCGAUUAGAUACCGCCCUAGUUCUGACCGUAAACGAUACCAUCUAGCGAUCCGAUAGGGUCUAUCUAGCCUUGUCGGGGAGCUUCCCGGAAACGAAAGUCUUUCGGUUCCGGGGGUAGUAUGGUUGCAAAGCUGAAACUUAAAGAAAUUGACGGAAGGGCACCACCAGGAGUGGAGCUUGCGGCUUAAUUUGACUCAACACGGGAAAACUCACCCGGUCCGGACACCGUAAGGAUUGACAGACUGAUAGCUCUUUCUUGAUUCGGUGGUUGGUGGUGCAUGGCCGUUCUUAGUUGGUGGAGUAAUUUGUCUGGUUUAUUCCGAUAACGAGCGAGACUCUAGCCUGCUAAAUAGAACGAGGAUAAACCUUUUCAUAGGUCCUCGAUGCUUCUUAGAGGAAUAGCGG